rnacentral:tmRNA from 1 species
UCACCAACUUAGAAUUAAAUAUAAACGCAGACGAUAAUUUAGCGUACGCUGCCUAGUGGCAGCUGUCGAACUUAAGUAUCCCACGGCUUAAGACCUCGGCAUCAACUUAGUGGGGACCUUUAUCUUCAAAGCUUUGAGAAGAUAAAAGAAAGAUGAAGCUACCAAAAUCAGAAGCCUGUCUGUCGGCGUCUGAUGGAGGGAACAGCAUGUAAGUGCUAUGCAAAUAGCAUUUGAGGCAUGCAUAAAAGAUAGGCUGUAAUGGGAGAAACCACAAUGGAAGAGCUUUCGGACAGGGGUUCGACUCCCCUCAGCUCCAUUG